rnacentral:tmRNA from 1 species
GGGGCUGACCGGUUUUGACAGCAGGCAGAGUUCGAUCGUAAGCACGCCGAGCGUUGUGUGGUGGCUCGUAAAUCCCAACAUGCGAAUUACAAAUGGCAAUAACAGCUAUGCACUCGCUGCCUAAUUUUCCAAGAAAAUUAGCUUAAUCGCCGGGCCCAAGGAGGUUUGGCGACGAGUAUCCCGGACGGCGGUUCCGCUCUUUAACCGCUUUCCAUACGGGGUAUCAUUCAUUUAGAGAUAGCGCGAGGGAGCGUUCCGGCCGCUGCGCGAAAAUCAAGGAACUGGGCCAUGCGUUAGGCAGCCGCCUGCCGGGCGCGUGGAGAAGGAUUAAACGGCGGCUAAGCGUGUAGAAAGCUUUUGGGUUCCCUGUUUGGACGCGGGUUCGACUCCCGCCAGCUCCAC